rnacentral:rRNA from 1 species
GGUCAAGUGAAGAAGCGCAUACGGUGGAUGCCUUGGCAGUCAGAGGCGAUGAAAGACGUGGUAGCCUGCGAAAAGCUUCGGGGAGUCGGCAAACAGACUUUGAUCCGGAGAUGUCUGAAUGGGGGAACCCAGCCAUCAUAAGAUGGUUAUCUUGUACUGAAUACAUAGGUGCAAGAGGCGAACCAGGGGAACUGAAACAUCUAAGUACCCUGAGGAAAAGAAAUCAACCGAGAUUCCCUUAGUAGUGGCGAGCGAACGGGGACUAGCCCUUAAGUGGCUUUGAGAUUAGCGGAACGCUCUGGAAAGUGCGGCCAUAGUGGGUGAUAGCCCUGUACGCGAAAGUCUCUUAGUCAUGAAAUCGAGUAGGACGGAGCACGAGAAACUUUGUCUGAAUAUGGGGGGACCAUCCUCCAAGGCUAAAUACUACUGACUGACCGAUAGUGAACUAGUACCGUGAGGGAAAGGCGAAAAGAACCCCGGAGAGGGGAGUGAAAUAGAUCCUGAAACCGUAUGCGUACAAGCAGUGGGAGCAGACUUUGUUCUGUGACUGCGUACCUUUUGUAUAAUGGGUCAGCGACUUAUUUUCAGUGGCGAGCUUAACCGAAUAGGGGAGGCGUAGCGAAAGCGAGUCUUAAUAGGGCGUCUAGUCGCUGGGAAUAGACCCGAAACCGGGCGAUCUAUCCAUGGGCAGGUUGAAGGUUAGGUAACACUGACUGGAGGACCGAACCGACUACCGUUGAAAAGUUAGCGGAUGACCUGUGGAUCGGAGUGAAAGGCUAAUCAAGCUCGGAGAUAGCUGGUUCUCCUCGAAAGCUAUUUAGGUAGCGCCUCAUGUAUCACUGUAGGGGGUAGAGCACUGUUUCGGCUAGGGGGUCAUCCCGACUUACCAAACCGAUGCAAACUCCGAAUACCUACAAGUGCCGAGCAUGGGAGACACACGGCGGGUGCUAACGUCCGUCGUGAAAAGGGAAACAACCCAGACCGUCAGCUAAGGUCCCAAAGUUAUGGUUAAGUGGGAAACGAUGUGGGAAGGCUUAGACAGCUAGGAGGUUGGCUUAGAAGCAGCCACCCUUUAAAGAAAGCGUAAUAGCUCACUAGUCGAGUCGGCCUGCGCGGAAGAUGUAACGGGGCUCAAACCAUACACCGAAGCUACGGGUAUCACGUAAGUGAUGCGGUAGAGGAGCGUUCUGUAAGCCUGUGAAGGUGAGUUGAGAAGCUUGCUGGAGGUAUCAGAAGUGCGAAUGCUGACAUGAGUAACGACAAUGGGUGUGAAAAACACCCACGCCGAAAGACCAAGGUUUCCUGCGCAACGUUAAUCGACGCAGGGUUAGUCGGUCCCUAAGGCGAGGCUGAAAAGCGUAGUCGAUGGAAAACAGGUUAAUAUUCCUGUACUUCUGGUUAUUGCGAUGGAGGGACGGAGAAGGCUAGGCCAGCUUGGCGUUGGUUGUCCAAGUUUAAGGUGGUAGGCUGGAAUCUUAGGUAAAUCCGGGAUUCCAAGGCCGAGAGCUGAUGACGAGUUGCCUUUAGGCGACGAAGUGGUUGAUGCCAUGCUUCCAAGAAAAGCUUCUAAGCUUCAGAUAACCAGGAACCGUACCCCAAACCGACACAGGUGGUUGGGUAGAGAAUACCAAGGCGCUUGAGAGAACUCGGGUGAAGGAACUAGGCAAAAUGGCACCGUAACUUCGGGAGAAGGUGCGCCGGUGAGGGUGAAGUACUUGCUACGUAAGCCCACGCCGGUCGAAGAUACCAGGCCGCUGCGACUGUUUAUUAAAAACACAGCACUCUGCAAACACGAAAGUGGACGUAUAGGGUGUGACGCCUGCCCGGUGCCGGAAGGUUAAUUGAUGGGGUUAGCUAACGCGAAGCUCUUGAUCGAAGCCCCGGUAAACGGCGGCCGUAACUAUAACGGUCCUAAGGUAGCGAAAUUCCUUGUCGGGUAAGUUCCGACCUGCACGAAUGGCGUAACGAUGGCGGCGCUGUCUCCACCCGAGACUCAGUGAAAUUGAAAUCGCUGUGAAGAUGCAGUGUAUCCGCGGCUAGACGGAAAGACCCCGUGAACCUUUACUAUAGCUUUGCACUGGACUUUGAAUUUGCUUGUGUAGGAUAGGUGGGAGGCUUUGAAGCGUGGACGCCAGUUCGCGUGGAGCCAUCCUUGAAAUACCACCCUGGCAACUUUGAGGUUCUAACUCAGGUCCGUUAUCCGGAUCGAGGACAGUGUAUGGUGGGUAGUUUGACUGGGGCGGUCUCCUCCUAAAGAGUAACGGAGGAGUACGAAGGUGCGCUCAGACCGGUCGGAAAUCGGUCGUAGAGUAUAAAGGCAAAAGCGCGCUUGACUGCGAGACAGACACGUCGAGCAGGUACGAAAGUAGGUCUUAGUGAUCCGGUGGUUCUGUAUGGAAGGGCCAUCGCUCAACGGAUAAAAGGUACUCCGGGGAUAACAGGCUGAUACCGCCCAAGAGUUCAUAUCGACGGCGGUGUUUGGCACCUCGAUGUCGGCUCAUCACAUCCUGGGGCUGAAGCCGGUCCCAAGGGUAUGGCUGUUCGCCAUUUAAAGUGGUACGCGAGCUGGGUUUAGAACGUCGUGAGACAGUUCGGUCCCUAUCUGCCGUGGACGUUUGAGAUUUGAGAGGGGCUGCUCCUAGUACGAGAGGACCGGAGUGGACGAACCUCUGGUGUUCCGGUUGUCACGCCAGUGGCAUUGCCGGGUAGCUAUGUUCGGGAAAGAUAACCGCUGAAAGCAUCUAAGCGGGAAACUUGCCUCAAGAUGAGAUCUCACUGGAACCUUGAGUUCCCUGAAGGGCCGUCGAAGACUACGACGUUGAUAGGUUGGGUGUGUAAGCGCUGUGAGGCGUUGAGCUAACCAAUACUAAUUGCCCGUGAGGCUUGACCAU